rnacentral:rRNA from 1 species
AACGAACGCUGGCGGCAUGCCUAACACAUGCAAGUCGAACGAGACCUUCGGGUCUAGUGGCGCACGGGUGCGUAACGCGUGGGAACCUGCCCUUAGGUUCGGAAUAACUCCCCGAAAGGGGUGCUAAUACCGGAUAAUGUCUUCGGACCAAAGAUUUAUCGCCUUUGGAAGGGCCCGCGUUGGAUUAGCUAGUUGGUAGGGUAAAAGCCUACCAAGGCGACGAUCCAUAGCUGGUCUGAGAGGAUGAUCAGCCACACUGGGACUGAGACACGGCCCAGACUCCUACGGGAGGCAGCAGUGGGGAAUAUUGGACAAUGGGCGAAAGCCUGAUCCAGCAAUGCCGCGUGAGUGGUGAAGGCCUUAGGGUUGUAAAGCUCUUUUACCCGGGAUGAUAAUGACAGUACCGGGAGAAUAAGCUCCGGCUAACUCCGUG